rnacentral:tRNA from 1 species
GGAUUGUGGCUCAGUGGUAGAGUGCUUGCCUCACAUAUGUGAGGUACUGGGUUCAAUCCUCAGCACCA